rnacentral:lncRNA from 1 species
GGGAAGGGGACCGACUCGUCCUCCUUCCGCUCAGUGCACACGUCCGCCAGCUCUUCUGACUUGGACAGGCCUGCCUUAAAGCAGACGGAAUGAAAAGCAGAAGCUUAUAAUCCGACACAUGACGCCAGAGCACGUCGGCGGAGGGCUCUGUCUCACCUGGACCUGUGAGAGUGAUUUCCCAGCGAUUGCUUCGGCCGGUACAACCAGAGAACAGGAUUCUUUUCUUUUUGGCCGCUAAAUGCCUCUGUACCCCACACUUUCCACUGAGGGGAGAAGGCCGGAGCUUCUUGGAUGAUGAUGGAUAUUCCGCUGGGCAGGAUGAGGGCAGAGUGUGUGACAUCAGCACCACAAGGGGCCAGCGUGAACUCCCUCAUCUCCCUUCCCAGCCAGCU